rnacentral:rRNA from 1 species
UACGAAGGGGACUAGCGUUGUUCGGAAUUACUGGGCGUAAAGCGCACGUAGGCGGAUUUGUUAGUCAGGGGUGAAAUCCCGGGGCUCAACCUCGGAACUGCCUUUGAUACUGCAAGUCUCGAGUCCGAUAGAGGUGGGUGGAAUUCCUAGUGUAGAGGUGAAAUUCGUAGAUAUUGGGAAGAACACCGGUGGCGAAGGCGGCGCUCUGGACCGAGACUGACGCUGAGGCGCGAAAGCGUGGGGAGCAAACAGG